UCAGGAACAUCUUGCUGAGGACAG
rnacentral:piRNA from 1 species